UCUGUGAUAGAGAUUCUUUGCU
rnacentral:miRNA from 1 species